rnacentral:lncRNA from 1 species
GGAGGGGUUCACAGUCUGAAGGAGUUUGAAUCUCAUCAACCCAAACUUUGGUACCUCACGCCCACCGUCUACCACAUCCGUCGGGCUGUUAUCCUCCGCCACCGCCUCAGAUGGGUGGUUAGAUAAUAGAUAUAGACUGAACCAGGAGUGGGCAGGUCAGAUCGGCCGAAUAACCCAGCUUGGGAUUACCCAGUUCAUAUAUGAUUGAGCCAUUUGUGCUGGUGUAUGAUUUGAUUUUCUUUGAGGUCGUGGAUAAAAGUAAAACCAGAUGCAGGGAGAUGUUUGCAGCCUGCACAAUGUAGAGUAUGAAGCUU